rnacentral:rRNA from 1 species
CCCAGACUCCUACGGGAGGCAGCAGUGGGGAAUAUUGGACAAUGGGGGGAACCCUGAUCCAGCGACGCCGCGUGAGUGAAGAAGUAUUUCGGUAUGUAAAGCUCUAUCAGCAGGGAAGAAAGAAAUGACGGUACCUGACUAAGAAGCCCCGGCUAACUACGUGCCAGCAGCCGCGGUAAUACGUAGGGGGCAAGCGUUAUCCGGAUUUACUGGGUGUAAAGGGAGCGUAGACGGCAGCGCAAGUCUGGAGUGAAAUGCCGGGGCCCAACCCCGGAACUGCUCUGGAAACUGUGAGGCUGGAGUGCAGGAGAGGUAAGCGGAAUUCCUGGUGUAGCGGUGAAAUGCGUAGAUAUUAGGAGGAACACCAGUGGCGAAGGCGGCUUACUGGACGGUAACUGACGUUGAGGCUCGAAAGCGUGGGGAGCAAACAGGAUUAGAUACCCUCGUA